AGAGUUUGAUCCUGGCUCAGGAUGAACGCUAGCGACAGGCCUAACACAUGCAAGUCGAGGGGCAACAUGGUAUCAGCUUGCUGAUACCGAUGGCGACCGGCGCACGGGUGAGUAACGCGUAUGUAAUCUACCUGUAACAGAGGGAUAACCCGGAGAAAUCCGGACUAAUACCUCAUAGCACAUAUUAUUCGCAUGAAUUUUAUGUUAAAGAGACUCGGUUACAGAUGAACAUGCGUUCCAUUAGCUGGUUGGCGGGGUCACGGCCCACCAAGGCAACGAUGGAUAGGGGUUCUGAGAGGAAGGUCCCCCACACUGGUACUGAGACACGGACCAGACUCCUACGGGAGGCAGCAGUGAGGAAUAUUGGUCAAUGGGCGGAAGCCUGAACCAGCCAAGUCGCGUGGAGGAAGACGGCCCUACGGGUUGUAAACUCCUUUUACCUGGGAAUAACGGGCGCUACGCGUAGCGCUGUGCAAGUACCGGGAGAAUAAGCAUCGGCUAAUUCCGUGCCAGCAGCCGCGGUAAUACGGAAGAUGCGAGCGUUAUCCGGAUUUAUUGGGUUUAAAGGGUGCGUAGGCGGAAGAAUAAGUCAGCGGUGAAAUGCUUCAGCUCAACUGGAGAAUUGCCGAUGAAACUGUUUUUCUAGAGUAUAAAAGAGGUAUGCGGAAUGCGUGGUGUAGCGGUGAAAUGCAUAGAUAUCACGCAGAACCCCGAUUGCGAAGGCAGCAUACUGGGCUAUAACUGACGCUGAAGCACGAAAGCGUGGGUAUCGAACAGGAUUAGAUACCCUGGUAGUCCACGCCGUAAACGAUGAAUACUAACUGUUUGCGAUAUAAUGUAAGCGGUACAGCGAAAGCGUUAAGUAUUCCACCUGGGGAGUACGCCGGCAACGGUGAAACUCAAAGGAAUUGACGGGGGCCCGCACAAGCGGAGGAACAUGUGGUUUAAUUCGAU
rnacentral:rRNA from 1 species